rnacentral:rRNA from 1 species
AUUGAACGCUGGCGGCAUGCUUUACACAUGCAAGUCGAACGGCAGCGCGGGGCAACCUGGCGGCGAGUGGCGAACGGGUGAGUAAUAUAUCGGAACGUACCCAAGCGUGGGGGAUAACGUAGCGAAAGUUACGCUAAUACCGCAUACGAUCUAAGGAUGAAAGUGGGGGAUCUUCGGACCUCAUGCUCCUGGAGCGGCCGAUAUCUGAUUAGGUAGUUGGUAGGGUAAAGGCCUACCAAGGCGACGAUCAGUAGCUGGUCUGAGAGGACGACCAGCCACACUGGAACUGAGACACGGUCCAGACUCCUACGGGAGGCAGCAGUGGGGAAUUUUGGACAAUGGGCGCAAGCCUGAUCCAGCAAUGCCGCGUGAGUGAAGAAGGCCUUCGGGUUGUAAAGCUCUUUUGUCAGGGAAGAAACGGCUGAGGUUAAUACCUUUGGCUAAUGACGGUACCUUAAGAAUAAGCACCGGCUAACUACGUG